ACUAUGAGAAGGGGGAGGGGAGAGGCACCCAUACUGGUGGAGGCUGCCCAUAAAGCUAAUGAUUGUGUACCUUAGUACUACACAUAAUAUAGGUCUAGUACUAAUAUACAUACAAAUGUUUUCAUGUGAGGUGGGGAAGGGGGGCGUUGGUCCCCGUAAAGCUUCGGCAUUGUAAGAGUUUCUUCAAUAGAUGAUGUAAAUUUGCAGAUGUAAUAU
rnacentral:lncRNA from 1 species